AGCAGCCGCGGUAAUUCCAGCUCCAAUAGCGUAUAUUAAAGUUGUUGCAGUUAAAAAGCUCGUAGUUGAAUUUCGGGAUUGACACAUCGGUCGUGCCUUAAGGGGUAUAAACUGGUGUAGUCAAUUUCUCACCUUCUGGAGAACCGCGAUGCCCUUAAUUGGGUGUCGCGGGGAACCAGGACCUUUACUUUGAAAAAAUUAGAGUGUUUAAAGCAGGCAUUUUGCUUGAAUACAUUAGCAUGGAAUAAUAAAAUAGGACGGCAUGAUUCUAUUUUGUUGGUUUCUAGGAUCACCGUAAUGAUUAAUAGGGAUAGUUGGGGGCAUUAGUAUUCAAUUGUCAGUGGUGAAAUUCUUGGAUUUAUUGAAGACUAACUACUGCGAAAGCAUUUGCCAAGGAUGUUUUCAUUAAUCAAGAACGAAAGUUAGGGGAUCGAAGACGAUCAGAUACCGUCGUAGUCUUAACCAUAAACUAUGCCGACUAGGAAUCAGACGAUGUUAAUUUUUAAUGUACUCGUUUGGC
rnacentral:misc_RNA from 1 species